rnacentral:rRNA from 1 species
AUGCAGUCGAACGGUAACAUUUCUAGCUUGCUAGAAGAUGACGAGUGGCGGACGGGUGAGUAAUGCUUGGGAACUUGCCUUUGCGAGGGGGAUAACAGUUGGAAGCGACUGCUAAUACCGCAUAAUGUCUUCGGACCAAACGGGGCUUCGGCUCCGGCGCAAAGAGAGGCCCAAGUGAGAUUAGCUAGUUGGUAAGGUAACGGCUUACCAAGGCGACGAUCUCUAGCUGUUCUGAGAGGAAGAUCAGCCACACUGGGACUGAGACACGGCCCAGACUCCUACGGGAGGCAGCAGUGGGGAAUAUUGCACAAUGGGGGAAACCCUGAUGCAGCCAUGCCCCGUGUGUGAAGAAGGCCUUCGGGUUGUAAAGCACUUUCAGUCGUGAGGAAAAGUUAGUAGUUAAUACCUGCUAGCCGUGACGUUAACAACAGAAGAAGCACCGGCUAACUCCGUGCCAGCAGCCGCGGUAAUACGGAGGGUGCGAGCGUUAAUCGGAAUUACUGGGCGUAAAGCGCACGCAGGCGGUUUGUUAAGCUAGAUGUGAAAGCCCCGGGCUCAACCUGGGAUGGUCAUUUAGAACUGGCAGACUAGAGUCUUGGAGAGGGGAGUGGAAUUCCAGGUGUAGCGGUGAAAUGCGUAGAUAUCUGGAGGAACAUCAGUGGCGAAGGCGACUCCCUGGCCAAAGACUGACGCUCAUGUGCGAAAGUGUGGGUAGCGAACAGGAUUAAAUACCCUGGUAGUCCACACCGUAAACGCUGUCUACUAGCUGUGUGUGUCUUUAAGACGUGCGUAGCGAAGCUAACGCGCUAAGUAGACCGCCUGGGGAGUACGGCCGCAAGGUUAAAACUCAAAUGAAUUGACGGGGGCCCGCACAAGCGGUGGAGCAUGUGGUUUAAUU